UACGUAGGGUGCGAGCGUUAAUCGGAAUUACUGGGCGUAAAGCGUGCGCAGGCGGUUCGCAAAGUCUGAUGUGAAAGCCCCGGGCUCAACCUGGGAACUGCAUUGGAAACUAACGGGCUCGAGUGUGGCAGAGGGGGGUGGAAUUCCACGUGUAGCAGUGAAAUGCGUAGAGAUGUGGAGGAACACCAGUGGCGAAGGCGGCUCACUGGCCCGUAACUGACGCUGAGGCACGAAAGCGUGGGGAGCAAACAGG
rnacentral:rRNA from 1 species